CCUACGUGGGGCAGCAGUGGGGAAUAUUGCGCAAUGGGCGAAAGCCUGACGCAGCGACGCCGCGUGAGGGAUGAAGGUCUUCGGAUCGUAAACCUCUGUCAGCAGGGAAGAACGGUCACUGUGCUAAUCAGCAGUGAAUUGACGGUACCUGCAAAGGAAGCACCGGCUAACUCCGUGCCAGCAGCCGCGGUAAUACGGAGGGUGCGAGCGUUAAUCGGAAGUACGGGGCGUAAAGCGCUCGUAGGCGGUAUGUCAAGUCAAGGGUGAAAUCCCCGCGCUUAACGUGGGAACUGCCUUUGAAACUGGCAAACAGGAGUGUGUGAGAGGAUAGUGGAAUUCCAGGUGUAGGAGUGAAAUCCGUAGAUAUCUGGAGGAACAUCAGUGGCGAAGGCGACUAUCUGGCACAUAACUGACGCUGAGGAGCGAAAGCGUGGGUAGCAAACAGGAUUAGAUACCCCAGUAGUC
rnacentral:rRNA from 1 species